AUUGAACGCUGGCGGCAUGCCUUACACAUGCAAGUCGAACGGCAGCGCGGGAGCAAUCCUGGCGGCGAGUGGCGAACGGGUGAGUAAUACAUCGGAACGUGCCCAAUCGUGGGGGAUAACGCAGCGAAAGCUGUGCUAAUACCGCAUACGAUCUACGGAUGAAAGCAGGGGAUCGCAAGACCUUGCGCGAAUGGAGCGGCCGAUGGCAGAUUAGGUAGUUGGUGAGGUAAAGGCUCACCAAGCCUUCGAUCUGUAGCUGGUCUGAGGGGACGACCAGCCACACUGGGACUGAGACACGGCCCAGACUCCUACGGGAGGCAGCAGUGGGGAAUUUUGGACAAUGGGCGAAAGCCUGAUCCAGCCAUGCCGCGUGCAGGAUGAAGGCCUUCGGGUUGUAAACUGCUUUUGUACGGAACGAAACGGUCUUUUCUAAUAAAGAAGGCUAAUGACGGUACCGUAAGAAUAAGCACCGGCUAACUACGUG
rnacentral:rRNA from 1 species